GCCUUUCUGAAGAGCUCCUGCAGCAGGCCCAGGCUACAGUGGCCAAGUCUCACUUGACAGUAAUGGCAUUGGAUGGUGGCUGCAGAAGGUUACUGAUGUCCCCGUGGGCUUUCACAGGCUAUGCAGAUCGGGGGCUGUUCUGCCUAAUACUGAAAGGACCAAGGAACUCUGGCUGCCCUCAGGAAUUCCAAAUGACCGAAGGAACAAAGCUUCAGGUACUACAAGCUGUGGGGCCCCAAGUUCAAUCCCGUCAUCUAUAAAACAGGCAUAAAGACACCUAUGCCUGCGGGGAGUGUUAAGAAAGAACACCUAGCCCUCAGGGGCCCUUGGUGAUGGUUCACUUCGCUCUUGUUCUUGAAAGCCCAGGCCCCAAAUCAUAUUCUACAGUCAAAUGCAUUCUGCUCUUUCAUACGCGGUUCCCCAUUAUUUAGAGGAAAAUAUGCUAUUUUAAGGAAGAUUUCUUACCAUCCCAAGCAUCAAACAUGUCUGUGAUGAAGUAAUCAAUGAAAGAGAUUUGGGAUUUGGGGAUGCUGUCUGUAAUUCCAGCUACUCAGGAGGCUGAGGUGGGAGAAUUACUUGAGCCCAGGAGUUUGAGACUAGCCUGGGCAACAGAAAUGAGAGAGCACAUCUCUAAAAAACAAAUAACAGCAAAAACAAAACAAAACCCAACAGGACUCAGUCUGGCCAUAGUACUUAAUACUAACUUAAGACUAGUUAAAAUGCCCAUGUCACACAUCCUCUCUCUUCAGAGGAG
rnacentral:lncRNA from 1 species